rnacentral:rRNA from 1 species
ACGUAGGUGGCGAGCGUUGUCCGGAAUUACUGGGUGUAAAGGGUGCGUAGGCGGAUUUGCAAGUCAGGUGUGAAAACUAUCGGCUUAACCGGUAGCCUGCACUUGAAACUGUGAGUCUUGAGUGGUGAAGAGGUAAGCGGAAUUCCUAGUGUAGCGGUGAAAUGCGUAGAUAUUGGGAAGAACACCGGUGGCGAAGGCGACUUGCUGGCCAGCAACUGACGCUGAGGCGCGAAAGCCAGGGGAGCAAACGG